rnacentral:rRNA from 1 species
UGGGGAAUAUUGCACAAUGGGCGCAAGCCUGAUGCAGCCAUGCCGCGUGUAUGAAGAAGGCCUUCGGGUUGUAAAGUACUUUCAGUCGGGAGGAAGGUGGUAAGGUUAAUAACCUUAUCAAUUGACGUUACCGACAGAAGAAGCACCGGCUAACUCCGUGCCAGCAGCCGCGGUAAUACGGAGGGUGCAAGCGUUAAUCGGAAUUACAGGGCGUAAAGCGCACGCAGGCGGUUGAUUGAGUCAGAUGUGAAAUCCCCGGGCUUAACCCGGGAAUUGCAUCUGAUACUGGUCAGCUAGAGUCUUGUAGAGGGGGGUAGAAUUCCAUGUGUAGCGGUGAAAUGCGUAGAGAUGUGGAGGAAUACCGGUGGCGAAGGCGGCCCCCUGGACAAAGACUGACGCUCAGGUGCGAAAGCGUGGGGAGCAAACAGG